GUACAGUACCAGCGAACUAGAUGAGGAGUUUUUAUUUUAAUUCCGAUUUUGCUUCUGUUUUUACAUAGAAGGACUUGGGUUUUAAUUGAGUUUAGACCAGAUUAAGAACUAAACUGAUGGGCCAAGGGUUCGGGCUUGAAAAGAAUAUUGAAACCCUAGCCCACUUUGCAUGGGGUUUAGUCUAGAGGGGGGAAAACCCUGUUCUUUCACAAUCAGAACAGAACCUGCACAAACUCACGUAAGAACAGAAAGGGAAGCAUACAGAAGAGAGAAAAGAGAGAACUCGAGAGAGAGCAAGAGAAGCCGCCGCCGCCCAAGCGAUAACCAUCAUCGUGUAGCGCGCGCAAGGGAGUGGAGGAGGUCGCGCGCGAGGGAGAGAAGAGGGACGGCGAGAGAAGCUGAGAACGUGGACAGCAACGUUUCUGAACCGUGUUCAUCACCAAAGCUUCUUCUUUUCAGACCAAGAACCCAAGAUGGUCGUGAAGAUAAUGGCGAUGACUCAUUCUUGGGAGUUGAUGCUACGUGACGUGCCAAUACCGGAGGACGACUACACUUCAGAGGAAGAGGAAGAGGCUAAGGAAUAGGGUUUGGGUUGAGAGUCUUUUGUUUUCUGUUGGGGUUGAGAGUUUCCGAAGUGUUGGUAUCGAACAAUUUUAUUGCUUAAAUUCGAAUGAACAAGUUUUGAUGUAAUCUUUAUUUUCAUUCAGGCCUUUGAUUCGUACUCUUUACAGUUGGUUAUUUAAAAAGUUUUACGAUGUUGGUUA